GUGAAUGAGGCCAUUUUGGAAACCACAAAGGUUGACAUCGGCAGUGGUGUGAUUGUCGAAAAGGUCAUUCUAGAGCGGUUGGAACGGGCUUGCCAGUGCAGCCCAGGCAAGUUUGCCCGCUCCCUCUUGCGUCACGUCUUCACUGAAGACGAGCUUCGGGGAAAGACUCUCUUUGGCACCAAGAGCAACCUACACAAGGACAGACCAGCUAAGGGAGCCCUUGAUCCAAUUCGUACCAAUGCUGUCAUAGGGUACACAUGCAGCAAGUUUUCCCAAGCAAGCAUCACAUACAUAAAAAAUAGC